rnacentral:rRNA from 1 species
UACGAAGGGGGCUAGCGUUGCUCGGAAUCACUGGGCGUAAAGCGCACGUAGGCGGAUUGUUAAGUCAGGGGUGAAAUCCUGGAGCUCAACUCCAGAACUGCCUUUGAUACUGACGGUCUUGAGUCCGGGAAAGGUGAGUGGAACUCCGAGUGUAGAGGUGAAAUUCGUAGAUAUUCGGAAGAACACCAGUGGCGAAGGCGGCUCACUGGCCCGGUACUGACGCUGAGACGCGAAAAGCGUGGGGAGCGAACAGG